UACGUAGGGUGCGAGCGUUAAUCGGAAUUACUGGGCGUAAAGCGUGCGCAGGCGGUUUGUUAAGCCAGAUGUGAAAGCCCCGGGCUCAACCUGGGAACUGCGUUUGGUACUGGCAAGCUAGAGUACGGCAGAGGGGGGUGGAAUUCCACGUGUAGCAGUGAAAUGCGUAGAGAUGUGGAGGAACACCGGUGGCGAAGGCGGCGACCUGGACAGUAACUGACGCUGAGACGCGAAAGCGUGGGUAGCAAACAGG
rnacentral:rRNA from 1 species